rnacentral:lncRNA from 1 species
UUUGAAUUAUUCACGUCCGGACUUUUCUUAGUUGUUCUUGUUUCACGAGAAAAGUUAGGCUGGACACUAACAAAGUCAUCAACCAUGGGUAAAAUAAAUGAAGACAACAACGGAUCAGGUGCUGAAUUGGAAGACACUGUACAAGAAGAACCCCCGAAGAUGGACUGUACAUUUCCUUCUCGCAGCUCUUUCCUCAGAAGAGAAAGCGUGGAAUGAGAUCCACCUUUACGUGAUUUCCUCUUGCGCUGCAUGUAACCAACAAUUAAGGAAAUCAAUAAUAUAUAAGUCCUUGGAUUGAUGCGAUGGGGAAACGAGGAAGCUCCACGAACAAAGCUAGUAAUGCUACUUCUACCACAUUAAUGAAGUAGAGGAGCAAGUCAUCUUACAUACUAACUUAAAUGUUUUUAAAAUGGUCCCAGCAAUCAAAAGGAGCAAAGAGGAUAAAACUUGCAGGUGAAAUGGAGAAACAUUAUACAAAUUUAGCAAAAUGCGAUAAUGAUUUUCAGGGUGCAUGUGGUGCGUGAAAAGAAAGAACUUAUUCUAUACAAUUUAAAUAGGAAAGUAGAAACACAAAAGAUUAACUCAAGGAUAUCUUAAAUAUAUUUCCAUGUUGCACCCACCCUCACUGCACAGACUGCUGUCAUAAGUGAAUCCAGUUCAGCAAUCAAUUGUAAAUGAUGUGAUUUAAAUUGAAAUAAAAAUUAACAAAUUAUUUAUUCAUAACAUUGAUUGAAGAAGUAAAAAGAAUAUAUAUAUAUAUAUAUAAGUCAAGUUUCAAUAUAACUAAAAAAAUUGUAAAAGUUAAAUUUAAACUUUUACAUUUAAUAUCACUCUUUAAUUUAUACGUGAGCUAUAAAAUAUUCAAUAACUAUUCAAAAUUUGAAGUUAUAAGAAUGUUAUCAGCUUAAAAAGGAAGUGAAGUCAAAUGAUAAUAAAUGCUUGCUUUAAAUAAUAAGAUUAGAUAUUUUAAAGAUAGGGUUAAUUAAUAAACAAAUACAAACAUACUACAGUAAUUCAAUUAAUUGAAUUAGGAGAGAAGAAAAGUGAUAUUCAUUUUCGACUUUUAAAAACUUAUUAAUUUUUUUAUUUAAUUUUAAAAUAAAAAAUAUACUUAUAUUUUUAGAAAAAAACUAAAUUAAAAUAUUUUUAAUUAAUAAAUAAAAAAUUAAGUCAACUUAGGAUCAAAAUUACACAGUGUCUUGUCCAAAGCUCAACGGGAGCCAUUAGCUAACCAUUGGAUAGGAGUAUCAGUGAGUUAGAUUAGUUUAAAAUAAUAAUAUUAUUAAUAUUAAUAUUAAUAAAUUUAAAUAUUGAGAUUGAAAAAUGCUAUAAAAAAAAUGUGCUUCUAAAAAUUAUUUUUGAAAAUUUUGAUAAUAUUCAUUAUUACUAUUAAAAUGUGCCUUUUGAAAAGAUAGAAUAUCGUGAUAUUGUAAAAUCAAAGAUUUAACGAGGGAUAAAAAGAUAGUUUUCUUGAAAAAUAUUUUUUCAAAAAUCAAAAGUUAAAAUUUUUGGCUUAGUUAAGAUUUAAUGGAGGAUUACAAAAAUCUAAUCUUGUACCUCCACUAUUUGUUUCCAAAUUUGAAGUAAAUGAAGAUCCGGUUGAACUCAUCAUGCUUAGAAGAGAAUUAAGACAGAAAUCCGUUACCCUAUAUUUUCAUUUUAUACCACAAUGUGUUGUCUUGUGAUCUACUACAAUCGGAGGAACACUCUUUGAUUCAUGGUAUUGAAGUUAGUUAGAACAAUAUCCCCAUCUCUAAUUUGUUCUUUCAAGCUAAUAUUGAAGAAUGUAGUGUUAUGAAAUCAUUUUUUAUUUAAGAUGAGUGCUUAAUGUUACAAAGCCUGAUCUAACAGUUAGUCCUUAUUCUCACUCUUAAGUUACAAAGAUUCCAAAUGCCAAUGUUUCUAAGCAACCAGGCACCUAUUCAGGAUUUAUAUGAAACAUCUAUGGGUUAGAAGAAAGUUCUUUCAACCUAUCUUCAUUUACCCUAGUUUAUCUAAUUAAAAGAACAGACAAAUAAUUGCCCUUUUUUUUAAUAUAUAUACCACCAUAUUUAUUUAUACACAUCACCGUUUGAAAUAUAUCAAGAAAACCUAUUAAAUGGAUAGAGUUUUGUCAAUCCAAGCACUUGGGACCAAAGGCCUGGGAGUUAUUUUCAGACACCAAGUUAACCAAUUGAACUUGUCAUUCAGACAUGUACCUAAAAAAAUAGUCCACCAAAGUAAAAUACCACUGAUAUACAUGCAUCAUCAUAUGCCGAGUAUAAGCGAGUUUCAGCCACAUUCCAUGUUGAAAACAACAUUUUUUUUUAAAUAUUAUCAUAUCAUAUGACCUGAGAAUAAAAGAUGAAGUGGAAACCAUGAUCAGGUCUAACAACAACUAAAAGAGUCCACAUAUGCAACAUAAAAUUACAUUCAUUCCUACCAACCUUAUUUCAACAUUUUCACUACACAGUAAUGAACCGUAGAUUUGCAAGUUUGCUUGCCAGGGGCUCUUCAUCGUCAACCCAAUUUCCCCGUGGGAUUCAGGUUCACAAUUGCAUUGCAGCAACCGAUUUGAACCUGAGAAUGCUGUUUUAUAAAAUUUCAUCAGGCAUUGUGGACAACAGCAGCCCUUGAACAAACUCGCAUCUUUUUG